AACGAACGCUGGCGGCAUGCCUAACACAUGCAAGUCGAACGAGACCUUCGGGUCUAGUGGCGCACGGGUGCGUAACGCGUGGGAACCUGCCCUUAGGUUCGGAAUAACUCCCCGAAAGGGGUGCUAAUACCGGAUAAUGUCUUCGGACCAAAGAUUUAUCGCCUUAGGAUGGGCCCGCGUUGGAUUAGCUAGUUGGUAGGGUAAUAGCCUACCAAGGCGACGAUCCAUAGCUGGUCUGAGAGGAUGAUCAGCCACACUGGGACUGAGACACGGCCCAGACUCCUACGGGAGGCAGCAGUGGGGAAUAUUGGACAAUGGGCGAAAGCCUGAUCCAGCAAUGCCGCGUGAGUGAUGAAGGCCUUAGGGUUGUAAAGCUCUUUUACCCGGGACGAUAAUGACAGUAGUGGGAGAAUAAGCUCCGGCUAACUCCGUG
rnacentral:rRNA from 1 species